rnacentral:rRNA from 1 species
UACGUAGGGUGCAAGCGUUGUCCGGAAUUAUUGGGCGUAAAGAGCUCGUAGGUGGCCUGUCGCGUCGGCUGUGAAAACUCGGGGCUCAACUCCGAGCUUGCAGUCGAUACGGGCAGGCUAGAGUUCGGCAGGGGAGACUGGAAUUCCUGGUGUAGCGGUGAAAUGCGCAGAUAUCAGGAGGAACACCAAUGGCGAAGGCAGCUCGCUGGGACGGUACUGACGCUGAGACGCGAAAGCGUGGGGAGCAAACAGG